rnacentral:rRNA from 1 species
GGCUUAAUACACGCACGUCGUGGGGCAGCGCAGAGUAGCAAUACUUGGGCGGCGACCGGCAAACGGGUGCGGAACACGUACACAACCUUCCUACAAGUGGGGAAUAGCCCAGAGAAAUUUGGAUUAAUACCCCGUAACAUAUAGAAAUGGCAUCAUUUUUAUAUUAUAGCUUCGGCGCUUGUUGAUGGGUGUGCGGCUGAUUAGAUAGUUGGCGGGGUAACGGCCCACCAAGUCUACGAUCAGUAGCUGAUGUGAGAGCAUGAUCAGCCACACGGGCACUGAGACACGGGCCCGACUCCUACGGGAGGCAGCAGUAAGGAAUAUUGGUCAAUGGACGAAAGUCUGAACCAGCCAUGCCGCGUGAAGGAUUAAGGUCCUCUGGAUUGUAAACUUC